rnacentral:rRNA from 1 species
GAUGAACGCUGGCGGCGUGGAUAAGGCAUGCAAGUCAAGGGGGCCCGCAAGGGCAACCGGCAGACGAGGUAGUAAUAAUUAGGUACGUACCCAGAAGUCGGGCAUAGCUCGCCGAAAGGCGGGGUAAUUCCCGAUAAUCUCGCAAGAGCAAAGUUUUUCGCUUCUGGAACGGCCUGAUCGGUAUCAGCUAGUUGGUAGGGUAAAAGCCUACCAAGGCUAUGACGCCUAGGGGACCUGAGAGGGUGACCCCCACCGAUGGGACCGAGACACGGCCCAUACACCUACGGGUGGCUGCAGUCGAGAAUCUUCCACAAUGGACGAAAGUCUGAUGGAGCGACGCCGCGUGCAGGAUGAAGUUCUUCGGAAUGUAAACUGCUUUUGCCAGGGAAAAAGUUAUUGAUUGUACCUGGAGAAUAAGAAGUUGCUAAACUCGUGCCAGCAGCAGCGGUAAUACGAGUGCUUCGAGCGUUAUCCGGAAUCAUUGGGCGUAAAGGGUGUGUAGGCGGCGGUGUUAGUCUUGUGUUAAAUCCUUCGGCUCAACCGAGGGGCUGCAUGGGAAACGGCAUUGCUUAGAGGACGGAAGGGGUCACUGGAACUCAUGGUGUAGCGGUGAAAUGCGUUGAUAUCAUGGGGAACACCAAAAGCGAAGGCAAGUGACUGGUCCGCUCCUGACGCUGAAACACGAAAGCGUGGGUCGCGAAUGGGAUUAGAUACCCCAGUAGUCCACGCCCUAAACGAUGAUCUCUAGUUUUGAGGAGUAUCGACCCUCUUCGAGACCAAGCAAACGCGAUAAGAGAUCCGCCUGGGUAGUACGGCCGCAAGGUUGAAACUCAAAGGAAUAGACGGGGACUUGCACAAGCGGUGGAACAUGUGGUUCAAUUCGACGCUAAACGAAGAACCUUACCAGGGUUAGAAAUCCAGACGAAUACCAGCAGAAACGUUGGUAGUCGAAAGGCGGCUGGACAGGUGCUGCAUGGCUGUCGUCAGUUCGUGGUUUGAACUGUUCCCUUCAGUGGGGUAACGAACGCAACCCCUGUUGCCUGUUACAAGUGUCAGGCGAGACCGCCCAGCCCACAGUAUGUGAGGUUGGAAGGUAAAAACAGGAAAUGACAGUUAAGUUAAUUGAUGUUUUUCUUAUUUUACUUCUGCUCGCAUUUUGCGGGCUGGGAGGAAGGUGGGGAUGACGCCAAGUCAGCAUGGCCCUCUGAUACCCUGGGCUACACACGUGUUACAAUCGCCCAUACAACGGGACGCAAUGUCGUAAGACGGAGCAAACCCUUAUAAAGUGGGCGCCAGUUCGGAUAGAAGUCUGCAACUCGACUUCUUGAAGCCGGAAUCGCUAGUAAUCGCAGGUCAGCUAUACUGCGGUGAAUACGUUCUCAAGUCUUGUACUCACCGCCCGUCAACCCAAGGGAGUCGGAGGUGCCCAAAGUCUAGCCUCGCGCUGGCCUACGGCAAAUUCGAUGACAGGGG